rnacentral:lncRNA from 1 species
UUAGACAAGAAAAUCAUUCCAGGCAGAAGGCUUACAUUCUCAGUCUCUUUGAACAAAAAGGUGGAGUAGUGUCAGCCAGAUUAUCUGUUUCAAUGAUCUUUUCUGAGUUUAUUAAGUAGUUCACUGAUUGAGCUAAAACUCUUAAACACAUGCAGCAUAUGCAUGGGCACUUUUCCUAAGAAUAUUUCUAUAAAGCAAAAUAAUUUUUAAGCACAUCGUGCUAGAAUACAAUGAUUUAUUAUUAACUAACACUUAUGCAGUAUAUUAUUAUGAAAUGGUUAGAUUUGUUGAACCCUACUAGUUCACUCCAAGCAUGAAUGAAUUUGAUUGACUUUUGGCAUAUCCGAUGUAACAUACUUACUUUAUAUGAUAUAACUUGCCAUCUGACCAGCUUCUACUUUAUUUUAGCGGCAGUGAGGCGUAGUGAUAUAUCACUACAAUUGGCGUAGUGAUAUAAAUAUAACUAAACAAAAUGCAAACACGGGGAAGACUGGCUGACACGUGAUUUAAGGCACUGUGACCAGAUUGGUAAAAUCUUGUUUAUGAGGAUGAGGACUGCAUAACAUGUAACACUGUUUUUUUUCACGAUUGUAUCUAACAAAGCUUGUCUUUGUCUUUGAUUUUUGGUUGUUCACCUGUCCUUCCUGCCCCCAGUUUAUCACUUGGGAGCCACUGAAAUUGACUUUGAUCAAGCUGUAGAGACAAGGUAUACUUCUUGACCCUUCGCUGUUCCCGAGCACUGUUUAUCAGGAAGAUUUGUUUUUCAUUAAAGCCGAGUAAGACCAGCUAACAAUAGGAAUGAGUUUUUUUCCCAGGUUGACUCACAGCUGCUGUUAUCUAGUCCAAAGAUGACAUUUUCAAGUUGCUUCUAAAUAUCAUGAGGAAGAUGGUUCCUUUUUAGUUUCCUUAGAGCCUCAUCUAUUUAGAAUAAAUAGCAAAUGUGCCAAACAGUUUGUUCAAAAGGAAUUAUAAUGAAUAGUACCACUUUCUGUGUUCUUAUGCAGAGCCAAAAAGUGCAGGCAGUAGAUAAUAGAUCAUCGUGGUCUCAAAGUGCUCAGAAGUGGCAUGUAGAGACCAGAGUGUCUUGUCUCGUCCUUCACCAGAUAAGGAACAGGUGA